rnacentral:misc_RNA from 1 species
GUCGGACCUGCCUGUGCAGCGACGAUUAUUCAUGCGUUCCUCUUCAAGUCUAGGCACAAGUGCUAUCUAGCCUUGGCCGAAACUCGGGUUUCCUGUAUUGCAUACCUACUCGACGGAAUUUCUAGUUGCCUAUCGAACGAUCGCCUAAUGCCACCCUAGCCGGUGGUUGCGGGUGAUCCACAAAGCGGGACUGCGAUCCUCGAUGCAGAGUACUCCUACCCAUUGCCAUCGAGGCCCGUGUUUCUUCGCUCGGACUGAGGGAUUCGGUGCAUGCAGUGGGCAUUGGUUCUCUUCUAAAAUCCUUUUAAGGCACCAAAAUCAAAAACAAUCCAAACAACUUCCAACGGGGUGCGGCUUCUGGCCCCCCACCUCAUUUUCCCCAAGGAAGGCUCCC